UUUGUUCUUGUUUUUGUUUUGUCCAUGUUGGAACAAAUAGGGCAUGCCUCAGUUUUUGUAUUUUUUCACCUUCCUCUGGUGUUCCCUUUAUUUCCAUAUUUUAACCUCAUAUCGGUCUCUUUCUCACGCCCUCUCUAUCUCUCUUUCUUUCUCUCUUUCUGCCCCACGUCUCUUCGCAUGCGCAUGCGUCAGUCGGCAGCUGCUUACAAGAUUUCCAUCAUAUUUGUUGUGAAAAAACAUUGAAACAGGUCUAUCCGUAAAAAACAAACGAGCGGAGAAAGAGGGGAAAAUGAUCCUGCUCAUAAAGACUCACAGAACAAUCAGCUGAGGACACCUUUUUUUUUGUCAGUCAAAAAACAAAUUAAAUAUAUCCUCCAGUCCUACCAAUCGGCUUUCUAUAUGUUCAUCUGCAACCACGAGACAUGUGGCGUUCGGGCUUGUGCAUACCCACACCGGCUUAUAGACUUCAUUUGAGAUGGGCCUGACAGCACUUCCACUGAUCCUGGACCUGAAGCCUGAGGACUGCAAAUCUGCCAGAUCAGGCUACAUCCCACAUUUGAUUAUCUUCCCUGACAUUUCAUUUUGGAAGGCUCUAAUUGAUUCAGAGUUGCGGGAUGUGUUUUCCUAAUCUGCCAUGUCUGAAUGUGAUCCACCUGCAUAUUUAUCCGCCAGGAAACGGGAUAACUGCGGACUUCCUGUGACGCCACUACCCAAAUAAAAGCACAGCUGUUGCUACAUCCACUCUCUUCCACACCGGUGUUCAUCGGGAUAGGAGGGGGACACAGCGCACUAAUGUAUUUUGCUGCCAAAAAGACAAACUCUUCAAACUGAAUCCGAGAGUCAUAAGAUCACGCGAUCAUAUGCGCAAGUUAAGUAUGAGUGAAGCACUGUUUGUGUACCUGGUGAUUUCAUUCAUAAAGAGGGGUAAUUAAGGUAUAAGCAUUGCUGACUUUCUCUCCGAGCCCUGCAGAAGGAAACGGUGUUCGAGAGAAGCCCCUGCAAAGACGCGGUCUCCCAGUCUGGAAGGAAGACACCAGAGACUGCAUCAUUGUGUUAACCUGUGUGGUCAGCGGAAAAGGAUGGGACGCCCAGCUUCAGCUCCGGAGCUAACACUUUUGUUCACAGAGCGAAGGCACCUUCAACCCCCCGCGAAGCGACCGAGCUAACCGCUUGUUGACUGUGAACGUUUCUUCAAACUUCGCCCCUUGGACAACAU